GGGGAGGGUCACUUCUGAGCAGUGAAAAGGGAAUUUUCUUUUUUAAAAAAAAAAGAGAGAGAACUUCCUCAGGCCUAGGGCGACCGGAUGCUCCACUUUCUUUUCCCUCCUUCAGUAUAUGCACACGAAAACUGAAGAAAAGAGAUUUGGCCAAUUAGGAGGUAAUGAAGAUAUUGCAGAAAUAGUACUGACAAAAACACACUCAGGGGGCUGAAUGAGCAUCCAAUGGCCUUGACCCCACAACCAAGACAGAAGAAGGGUACCAAUGGAAGGAGCGCCUGUUUCCAGGGAAUCCAACACCCUCUUCUGACCUCUUCAGGCAAUGCACGACGCAUGUGCAUUUACAUACAUGCAGGCCCUCUGCAGAUGCUUAAUGCCCACCCACGCUGGUAUGGAUAGAUCUUCUUACUCGAACCAUCCUCACAAACUCCUUCAGAAAUAAUGUUUUUGCCAGCUGUCUGAGCAUCUCAUAGGCCAUUUAGGCUGAUACAUAAGAUUAGCCAUCACAAUAGCUGAUAGAAUGGUUGUAAGGAGACCUGUUCCUUGUUUGUUUUGUCACAUAAUCUAGUUUGGCCUUGAACUUGAUAUGGAGUCAAGAAUGAUCUGCCUGCCACCUCUGUCUAAGUACUGGAAGUACAUGGAUGUGCCACCUUGCCCAGCUGGAAACAGUUUUUCUCUGUG